CCUCCUUAUAAAGACUGGUUAUUUAUUUGUAUUUGAGUGCCCACAUAGUUUGUUUGAUUUAUUGUUAUUAAUGAAUUUAGACCAAAGAGUAUUCGCUAAGGCGAAUAUUUUUUUGCCUAAGUUUAUUAGGAUUGCUUAAAGCAACAGUUAUUUAAAAAUUUGGAAGAAACAAAGUACAAUGCAUUUUUACAUGUAUAAAUACAUAUAAUUAUAGUAUUAAAAGAAAUUCAUAUUUAAAAGGGUGUGUUUGGAUUUUGGUAUUAUUAAAUUCUCAAAGAUUUGAGGCGAGCAAUCGCCGCAAAAAUAUUGCAAGAGAUUUUGUGCUAAUCGAGGCGGAGCCGCGAAGAUUUGAAGGAGUGUACAUCAGGUACAUGACUGAAGAGCUGAGUGGUGACAACGAAGAGUANGGCAAAAUAUCGCCGUAAGAAGAGGGUUUGGGUUAUAUGGUCAAGUAAUUAAGCGCAAACGGUGGAUGCCUUGGCAGUAAAGGCGAUGAAGGACGUGUUAUUCUGCGAUAAGCUAAGNA
rnacentral:misc_RNA from 1 species